UUGCACCUGAUGGCGAGUGGCGAACGGGUGAGUAACAUAUCGGAACGUGCCUAGUAAUGGGGAAUAACUAAUCGAAAGAUUAGCUAAUACCGCAUACGAUCUACGGAUGAAAGCGGGGGAUCGCAAGACCUCGCGCGAUUGGAGCGGCUGAUAUCAGAUUAGCUUGUUGGUAGGGUAAAGGCCUACCAAGCCGACGAUCAGUAGCUGGUCUGAGAGGACGAUCAGCCACACUGGAACUGAGACACGGUCCAGACUCC
rnacentral:rRNA from 1 species